AUACACCUGCUACUACAAAUAUAUCUGCUACUUCAGAUACACCUAAUUCAACAAAUAUUUGUAGUAUCAGGUGUAUUUUUUAGAGGAAGAUAUAUUUGUAGUAGCAGAUGUAUUA